UGGAAAUGUCUCUGUAUUCUGUGGGAAUUCCCCUGAAUUUGUAUAGCCUUAAGAUCCAUGGGGAGGAGCAUUUUUGAGGAGUGUUUUCUUUACCAAACUUCAUUUCUGUGUGUUUUUUUGUCCCUUUAUUAGGUUCUUCACUGUAGGGGUUUUCAUACCAUCACUGUGCAAUUCAGAAAUGGCUGUGGGUUUCAAUAUGGAAACAUUAAUGCCCAGUUUUGGUUCUUCCAGGUGGAAUAUUUUACAAUGCUGCUGUGCAUGACAUAGAUAUUAUCAGUUUGCUGUUGGGAGAGAGUGUGCCAGAUACAAUAUUUUCCCUGGGCCAUGCCUUCUGUGCAGACAUGGGCUGCCUGAGGGAUGUGGACAUGGUCACCAUCAGCAUGAAGUUCCCCAGUGGAGCCAUUGUCACCCUGGACAUCAGCCAGCACUGCACCAGGAGCUGUGACCAGCGGCUGGAGGUUCACGGGUCUCAAGGGACGUUAAGGGUGGACAACCAGAACCCCCUGGGCAUCACAGAGCAUGGGACUUCUGUGUCCAUCUGUCCCCAGACCCAAGCUGAGCGCUACAGAGAUGCAUACAGGGAGCUCUUCCGGCACUUCCUGAGGACCCUGAAAGGUGGGACAAGGCUUAAAUUGAUGGCUGGUGUUGCUUUGGGUUGGCUUUGUUGGGGGAGGCACCAUGUCAGGUCAUGGAGAUGGGUGGGGAAUGAUGAUCUGAAACUCUGUGCUGGGAAGAAAUGAGAGUUGGGAGUAGAAAUUACCUUGGACCUUACUGUCCUUUGUGAUGAAAGCAGCUGUUUGUGACAGCCAAGCUAUCCUCAGCCAGAGUCCUGGCUGCCCAGAAGGGAUAAAAAUCACAGAAUCAUGGAGUGGCCUGGGUACAGUGAGGCUUUGAAGACCAUCUAGUCCACACUAUCCUCAGCCAGAGUCCUGGCUGCCCAGAAGGAAUAAAAAUCACAGAAUCAUGG
rnacentral:lncRNA from 1 species